CACACCGCCCGUCACAUCAUGGGAGUUGGUUUACCCGAAGCCGCUGGCCUAACCCGCAAGGGAGGGAGGCGUCGAAGGUGAGGCUGAUGACUGGGAUG
rnacentral:rRNA from 1 species